UACGGGGGGGGCAAGCGUUGUUCGGAAUUACUGGGCGUAAAGGGCUCGUAGGCGGCCAACUAAGUCAGAUGUGAAAUCCCCAGGCUUAACCUGGGAACUGCAUCUGAUACUGGAUGGCUUGAAUCCGGGAGAGGGAUGCAGAAUUCCAGGUGUAGCGGUGAAAUGCGUAGAUAUCUGGAGGAAUACCGGUGGCGAAGGCGGCAUCCUGGACCGGCAUUGACGCUGGGGAGCGAAAGCUAGGGGAGCAAACGGG
rnacentral:rRNA from 1 species